CAGGCUGCAACUCGCCUGCAUGAAGUUGGAAUUGCUAGUAAUCGCAGAUCAGCAUGCUGCGGUGAAUACGUUCCCGGGUCUUGUACACACCGCCCGUCACACCAUGGGAGCUGGUAACACCCGAAGUCAGUAGUCUAACCGCAAGGAGGACGCUGCCGAAGGUGGGAUUAGCGACUGGGGUGAAGUCGUAACAAGGUACC
rnacentral:rRNA from 1 species